rnacentral:rRNA from 1 species
UCAGACGAUGCGUCAUGCAUAUCAAUAAGCGGAGGAAAAGAAACUAACAAGGAUUCCCCUAGUAACGGCGAGUGAAGCGGGAAGAGCUCAAAUUUGAAAUCUUAAAGGGUUUCCCUUUACGAAUUGUAGUUUAAAGAAGUGUUUUCUGUUGAGGUUUUGGUAAAAGUUCUUUGGAAUAGGACAUCAUAGAGGGUGAGAAUCCCGUAUUUGACCUUUACUUUCAACUUUGUGAUACACUUUCAAAGAGUCGGAUUGUUUGGGAAUGCAGUCCAAAAUGGGUGGUAAAUUUCAUCUAAAGCUAAAUAUUGGCGAGAGACCGAUAGCGAGCAAGUACCGUGAGGGAAAGAUGAAAAGAACUUUGAAAAGAGAGUUAAACAGUACGUGAAAUUGUCAAAGGGAAGCGUUUGACACCAGUGUUGUUUUUCUGAAAAUCAAUUAAAGAACUGUUUAUGCUAAGCUGUUUAGACUUUAUCAGCUAAUCUGUUUAGUUUUGAGCUUUUCUUUAAUGCACUUUUCAGUUAACAAGUCAACAUCAAUUUCUUUUGCUGUAAAAAAGGCUUGAGGAAGGUGGCUUGAGAUUCGUCUUAAGUGUUUAUAGCCUCUUGCCUAUGCAGUCGGAGAGAUUGAGGUCUGCAGCGUAGAUCCUUCGGGGCUAAAUGCAUUUGUGCUAAGUUAUAGCAUUUUAUAGACAACCUGUUGACUAUGAUUUGUCUUGUAGCUUACUCGCUUAUGUUAUUUUACCUACGCUUAGGAUGUUGAGCGCAUGUCUCUCUCU